GAUGAACGCUGGCGGCGUGCCUAAUACAUGCAAGUCGAGCGAACAGAUGAGGAGCUUGCUCCUCUGACGUUAGCGGCGGACGGGUGAGUAACACGUGGAUAACCUACCUAUAAGACUGGGAUAACUUCGGGAAACCGGAGCUAAUACCGGAUAAUAUAUUGAACCGCAUGGUUCAAUAGUGAAAGUCGGUUUUGCUGUCACUUAUAGAUGGUUCUGCGCCGCAUUAGCUGGUUGGUAAGGUAACGGCUUACCAAGGCAACGAUGCGUAGCCGACGUGAGUGAGUGAUAGGCCGCAUUGGAGCUGGGACACGGUCCUGACUACUACGGGAGGCAGCAGUAGGGAAUCUUCCGCAAAGGGCGAAAACCUGACGGAGCAACGCCGCGUGAGUGAUGAAGGUCUUCGGAUCGUAAAGCUCUGUUUUUAGGGAAGAACAAAUGUGUAAGUAAAUAUGCACGUCUUGACGGUACCUAAUCAGAAAGCCACGGCUAACUACGUG
rnacentral:rRNA from 1 species